GACGAACGCUGGCGGCGUGCUUAACACAUGCAAGUCGAACGGACAAGCUCCAGCUUGCUGGCUUGGAUCAUUGCCGAAGGGGUGAGUAUCACGUGAGCAACAUCCCCCUGUCUCUCUGGUAUGCCUUCGAAACGCCGUCUCUUAUUCCAUAUGAUAUAUUUCCGCAUGUGCAUCUUCUGUAAAGUUCUUCGGUUGGGGAUGUGCUCGCUGCCUAUCAGCUUGUUUGUGAGGUAAGGGCUCACCAAGGCGACGACGGGUAGGCGGCCUGAGAGGGCGAACGGCCACACUGGGACUGAGACACGGCGCAGAAUCCUACGGGAGGCAGCAGGGGAGAAUAUGGCACAAUGGGCGAAAGCCUGAUGCAGCGACGCCGCGAGAGGGAUGACGGCCUUCGGGUGAUAAACAACUUUCAACAGGGAAGAAGAGAAAGUGACGGUACCUGCAGAAGAAGCACCGGCUAACUACGUG
rnacentral:rRNA from 1 species